rnacentral:miRNA from 1 species
GGCUGGCCAAAAAGUUCAUUUGGGUUUUUCCAUACAAUAGUACAAAAACCCAAGUGAACUUUUUGACCAAUCC